GAUGAAGAACGUAGCAAAAUGCGAUACUUGGUGUGAAUUGCAGAAUCCCGUGAACCAUCGAGUUUUUGAACGCAAGUUGCGCCCGAAGCCUUUUGGCCGAGGGCACGUCUGCCUGGGCGUCACGCAUCGCGUCGCCCCCCACAAUUCUCCGUAAAGGGAACAUGUGUUUUGGGGGCGGAUAUUGGUCUCCCGUGCUAAUGGCGUGGUUGGCCGAAAUAGGAGUCCUUUCGAUGGACGCACGAACUAGUGGUGGUCGUAAAAACCCUCGUCUUUUGUUUCGUGCUGUUGCUCGCAAGGUAAACUCUUUAAAAACCCCAAUGUGUCGUCUCUUGACGACGCUUCGACCGCGACCCCAGGUCAGGCGGGACUACCCGCUGAGUUUAAGCAUAUCAAUAAGCGGAGGA
rnacentral:misc_RNA from 1 species